ACUCUGGAGACGUUUGUGGGCUCUAGUGGUCAGCUUCUGGAAAGCAGCUAGCUAGUGGUGGCAGCGACAAUGUUGUACACGUGUGGGAUGCUGCUAGAUCAUCAACCACCACCACGCAAUGGUUGCACCGGCUUGAGGAAAAUACAUACGCCGUGAAAGCUCUUGCUUGGUGCCCCUUCCAAUCGAGUUUACUUGCAACUGGUGGUGGUGGAGGAGAUGGGUCGAUCAAGUUCUGGAACACUCACACCGGAGCUUGCGUGAACUCUGUUCACACCGGAUCCCAAGUGUGUGCUCUGUUCUGGAGCAAGAAAGAAAGAGAGUUGCUUAGCUCACAUGGGAACCACCUUGCACUUUUGUACUACCCGUCCUUGCUCAAAAUUGCUGAGCUCACUGGCCAUACUUCAAGCGUUCUCUACAUGGCACAGAGUCCUGAUGGCUGUACCGUUGCUUCAGCAGCAGGAGACCAGACUUUGAGGUUCUGGGAUGUUUUUGGAAUGCCAGAGACUGCCAAAAAAACGUGAUCACAAAGCACGCCAUGACCCAUUCCUCACGUGAUUGGCCCGUAUCGGUCUGGAAAGUCUUUUCUUACUCAAUCAGCUUCUUUCCCUUUCCUGUUAUGAAGGAUUCUAAAGUGUUGGAAAGUCUAAUGUUUAUGACGAUCGAAUAUUUGCUCUGGCAACUGUUAUGAGUUAUGUACUUAUCUAUAACCUGCCUGAAACUACUGCAAAGCAUUUAUGGAAAAGUUCAAGGAAGUUGCUGAAUCUGAAGAAGAGAAAGAAGAGACUAAAGAGGCUUCUGAUACUGCUGGUCUUCUUGAGAAGUUAACAGUGGAAGAGAAGAACACGGAGGAGGAGAAGAAGGAAGAGAAACCAGUGGAGAAGGUAGCAUCAGCAGAUGCACGCAGAGAAAGCUGUUGAAGAAAAGAAAACCGAGGAGUCUGUGCCCUCAGCGUAAGAUGCAUGCAUAGAUACAAAACAAACACGCAAGGCGGGUUAAUUCACAGCCUGAUAUGUUCUAAAUCCAUCAGAGACUUGGCACUAAACUAAAGUCUGAAGUAGCCCAAUACUCACUGUAAGACUUAUAUAUAUACAUACACUAAAAGAAUAGCACAUUAUUGAUACAUUGCAAACAAGAUCAAUGUCCAUCGCUGGAUUUUACUCAUAUACUUGGAAAUCAUAUACAUAUGGCAUUUUAGAGAUCAUUGUCCAUCACCGGAUUUCCUCGAAAACAUUCAAUAUAUUCAAAAU